ensembl:rRNA 5S_rRNA 5S ribosomal RNA
ACUUACGGCAACACCGGCCUGAGUACGCCUGAUCUCGUCCGAUCUCGGAAGCUAAGCAGGGUCGGGCCUGGUUAGUACUUGGUUGGGAGACAGCCUGGCAAUACCAGGUGCUGUAAGCU